GUCCUACGGGAGGCAGCAGUGGGGAAUAUUGCACAAUGGGGGAAACCCUGAUGCAGCGACGCCGCGUGAGUGAAGAAGUAAUUCGUUAUGUAAAGCUCUAUCAGCAGGGAAGAAAAUGACGGUACCUGAGUAAGAAGCCCCGGCUAACUACGUGCCAGCAGCCGCGGUAAUACGUAGGGGGCAAGCGUUAUCCGGAUUUACUGGGUGUAAAGGGAGAGUAGACGGCAGUGCAAGUCUGGAGUGAAA
rnacentral:rRNA from 1 species